AUUAACAGAAAAAUGUUCGAACGUGCAUGUGAGGUGUCACAUUGUGCCUCGUUUCUUCCAUUUUCCGGUUUGUCUGUGCAUGCAAGAGAGACUGGAUGUUUACAAUGCAUCAGGCCGUGGUUUGAGUUGAUGGUUCGUGGCCAACUAGUCAUCUUGGAAUGACAGUGAGAUGUCUAUGGAAUAUCCACAUACAUCAAUCUCUGAAUCCGAUUGAGAACGUCUGGUGUAUCCGUCGCAACCAAGUAGUGCCACAGACUUUCAAGGAGCUCACAAAUGCCUUGAUCCAGGUCUGGAAAGAGAUCCCCCCCGGACACCAUCCGCCAUCUCAUUGGGAUCACGCCCAGACAAUGUUGGGACUGCAUACAGGCAAGU